GCAGGCAGAUCCAAUUUUCUGCCCCGAAUACAUUAGCAUGGGAUAAUGGAAUAGGACCCUGUCCUCCUAUUUUCAGUUGGUUUUGGCAGCGCGAGGACUAGGGUAAUGAUUAAUAGGGAUAGUUGGGGGCAUUAAUAUUUAAUUGUCAGAGGUGAAAUUCUUGGAUUUAUGAAAGAUUAACUUCUGCGAAAGCAUCUGCCAAGGAUGUUUUCAUUAAUCAAGAACGAAAGUUAGGGGAUCGAAGACGAUCAGAUACCGUCGUAGUCUUAACCAUAAACGAUGCCGACCAGCGAUUAGGAGACGUUGAAUACAAAACACCACCAUCGGCGCGGUCGUCCUUGGCGUCUCGGUUUCGGCCGGGGCGCGGGGACGGCUUAGCCCGGUGGCACCGGUGAA
rnacentral:rRNA from 1 species